rnacentral:rRNA from 1 species
GUAGGGACCAAGCGUUGUUCGGAUUUACUGGGCGUAAAGGGCGCGUAGGCGGCAAUUCAAGUCAGCUGUGAAAUCUCCGGGCUUAACUCGGAACGGUCAGCUGAUACUGCUUUGCUAGAGUGCAGAAAGGGCAAUCGGAAUUCUUGGUGUAGCGGUGAAAUGCGUAGAUAUCAAGAGGAACACCUGAGGCGAAGGCGGGUUGCUAGGCUGACACUGACGCUGAGGCGCGAAAGCUAGGGUAGCAAACGGGAUUAGAUACCCCGGUAGUCCUAGCCCUAAACGAUGAAUACUUGGUGUCUGGAGUUUUUAUCCUCCGGGUGCCGUCGCUAACGUUUUAAGUAUUCCGCCUGGGGAGUACGCACGCAAGUGUGAA